CCCUGUAACGCGCCGAGCUCCAUCCAGUAGGCGAGGGAUUCCGACCCGUGGAUGGAGGCGGGGGACCCGUGGUCCGCCGAGAUCGGAUCGGGGCCGUUCGCGGCUCCUUGGGGUGAAGCCGGCGUCGUCUCAACGAAGAACGACGCGGCCGGGUGACCUCUCUGGCUUAACGCCAACCCGAACCCGACAGCUGACCUCGCAGGCAUGUACCGAGAGGAAUC
rnacentral:sRNA from 1 species